ACUCAGGGCUUGUGGAAGAGCAGUCAGUGUGAGCCAUCUCUCUAGCCCUCUAGAAUACUCUUGAACUUGAAUUCCAGAGCAGCCAGCUGAGCGUCCCUGGUCCCGUCCAUUUAUUUUCAUUGAUUCUGUUUCCUUCUCUGCAGAAUAGACGGUGUAGCACCUGAUCAUGGAGUGGGUGUGGAAAUCAAGUCGUGCAUUAAAGCGCUCAGCACAGAGGCUAGAACACAAUGAAUCUCAUAAAUGCUGGUGUGAGGGCUAGAGAGAGGCAUCUCAGUGGUCAAGAGUGAUUUUUUUUCUCUUUUUCAGAAGACCAGGGUUCAUAUCCUUACACCCACAGAGCAACCACAAGUGCCUAUAGCUCCAGAUGCAUAGGAUAUAAUGCCUGCACUGCAUGUACACAGUGCACAUGCAUACACUUGGGCACACAUGUAUCCAUAAGAAGUUAAAUCAUAAAUAUUUUUAAAUGAAUCUUUAGAAAAUGCUGUCAGACAAAAUGAGCCACAUCCCUGCCUCUUACUAACCUGGGAGUUAUGCACUGUACUGACAAACGUCUUAUUUACCAAGAAAGCAAGAAUGAAGUACUUAGAUACUCAGAAGCUGAUGCAAGCUGAAUUGGUCUGCAUUUUUAAAAUGAGGCUUAGUUGGCGCGCGGUGGUGCGCAUCUGCAAGCCUAGCUCUCAGGAAGCUGAAGGAGGGGAGUCUUGAACUGGAGGUCAGUCAGCCUGGACUUGCUAAGGAGAUGUCUCAGGAAACAGUCAAGCAAGGCUGUCGGGUUGGCUCAGUACAUACGUAGAGGCUCCCUGUGCAAGCCUGUGAAUUCUAAUUUCAAUCCAUGGAGUAGAUAUAAAGGUGAAAGCAAGAACUGACCCCACAGAGCCGUCCUCUGACCACCCCAUGUUCACUGUGGCUCAUGCGCCCGCCCCUCCCCCCACAAACACACGCAACCUAAAACAACAAAUACUCAUUUUUCCUCUAUCUGUUCUUCUCCUCAGAGAAGGAAAUAACAGGGGAAAAGGAAGAGAGACUCCAACAAUAAGCACUCGGUGGAGCAGGACAUUUAAGGAUAAAUAUCGGAGCUGUGGUGUAGCUGGGUUGCACAGCUUCUUCUCCGGUUUGAUCCCCAACACAACCAUAAGCUAGCUGUUUACUGCUCUGGAGGCGUAAGGGGGAGUGGAGUCGAUAAUGAGUCGAAGUCAAGUCUCCUACAACAGCCAACUUUAUUCGGAGCAUCAGACAAUUUAUACUUUGAGAGUUAAGAGGAGUCACGUGAGUAGAGCGUAUCAUCACAAGGGCAAGCCACAUGGAGCAAAGAUUUUUUUUUUCAUAGAGACAUAGGAACCAAUAACAGUAGCUCGUUGUAAUGAAUGAUCUGAAGUAAGCUCACUCCUUUCUGCUACACCUGGGAAGGGCACAAAAGCACAUUCCGAGGAAUAUUCCUUGUUUUGGAAGAAACUGAGAUCACGAGACUCUUGUUUCCUUGGAGUUUUCCCACAGGCACUCAGAAUUCUCCUUGCAUGACUCCAUUCUUGAACCAUGUUCCAACAACUGACGUUGAGGUUAUUAGUGGUUUCUUUUUGAUAUGUAGGGUUCUACGUCACUCCAUAUUUUCAUUUUGAAGUGUGCACAAAUAUCUAUUGUGGCUGAUUUUCUGUUUUUUGUUUUUUUGAGCUAGGGUGUUAGGUAGCCCAGGCUAGACUCCAACUGGAUGUAUUGCUGAGGACGAUCCUGAACUGCUGACCCUCUAUCCUCUACCUCCAAGCCGUGAGCUUCCAGAUCGAAAGAGGCAGGAAGACUCUAGAAGACAUUUGAGCUGUACAGCCCCCACCCUCUCCCCAGCCUCUAGCCACAGUCCCAGUGAUGCGCUGCAAGCUGAAUAGGAUGCUCACACUGCCCCUGCUUUUUCAAUACUGAGAAGUCAGGAAGAACUCAAGUUGGCUGUGAUUCUCAAGGGUGAGCGGAUUCUGACGGCGUAUCCUAGCAACCACUGAAAAGAACCCCACGUCAAGGGAUACAAGCUCCAGGAGCCGAUUCGCAAUGGCCACUGAGAUGCAGCGAGAAGUCCCGUGGCCUAGGCAACAACCCACAGGUUGAAACCCGCAAGCGUGAGCUGACCCUGCCGUCAGGAUGCUGAAGAGACACCGUGAGAGCAACAGUGUGAGCGGGGCCAAAGGCUGCCUCAUAAAUAUGGCCCUAAAUCAAAACGCUGAGAGUCCAGGCUUGGAGCUGGAGCAGGA